ACAUUAUAGGCAAAGACUCAGCAUGUCGCCAUGAGUUCCACAGAUUUAUUAUUCAACAGUUAAUAUUUUACUGAUAUUGGAACUUGCUAUCCCUCUGAGUUUAAAUGCCAUUAAUAUAGCUUAAUUGCUUCCAUUAGUGUGGAUUACAGGAAAAUACCAUGUAAAAUGACAAUCCUGUGACUCGGUUUUAAAGAAGAUGUUUAUAUUUUAUAAAUUCUUAUAGCCCCCACUGCUUCUUUUACAGUCCAGUGAUGUAGAAUCUAGUGAGGGAUGGAGCAUUUCUCAUCCAUUGAUGAGGUUAACACAGGAUGCUAGGGUCCCAGAUAAUCAAUGUCUUACCUCCAUGAAGAAUGAGAAAUAAGAGUUUAAUUCAGAAAGGAAAUAACUAAAAUAAGUAUAGAUUGAUUAGGUAAAAUUGAGAAAAAACUCAAGGGGAGUAAUACCUAGAUAUUAUUAUUGCCCUAGAAAAUUAACUGUGGCUAUAGUGCAAGGUGUUCAUGUUUCACUUACUGAGAAGCAUCAUUUAGGUGAAUUGUUUCCAGUUCGUGUCUAUUAUGAAAACAAACAAACACACAAAAACACAAGCAAGCAAACAAACAAACUAAAACCCUAGUGAAAUCUGUGGCUGGUUAGAACUGUGUGAAUGAGCAUAUGCUUUCCUGGAUUUGAUGAAUACUUAAAUUUGAAGUGUCUAUGUCAUUGCCUAUAUUUUCACACACACACACACACACACACACACACACAUGCAUGCAUGCACAGAUCUGUCAGACUAUUUCCCAAAGUGGCUGUAACUAUAUGACAUUCCCACCAAUGUUGUAUGUUAGUUCUAGACCCUCAACAAUCCUACCAACAUGUGAUACGGCCAGUGUUUUCUGACAUGUGGCUGGGUGUAGAAGCUCAUUGCACUUUUAGUUUGCGUUUCCUCAAUAAUUAUGCUCUUGGAAAUGUAAAUGAAAUAAAUACCC
rnacentral:lncRNA from 1 species